rnacentral:rRNA from 1 species
AUUGAACGCUGGCGGCAGGCCUAACACAUGCAAGUCGAGCGGAUGAAGGGAGCUUGCUCCUGGAUUCAGCGGCGGACGGGUGAGUAAUGCCUAGGAAUCUGCCUGGUAGUGGGGGAUAACGUCCGGAGACGGGCGCUAAUACCGCAUACGUCCUGAGGGAGAAAGUGGGGGGUCUUCGGACCUCACGCUAUCAGAUGAGCCUAGGUGGGAUUAGCUAGUUGGUGGGGUAAAGGCCUACCAAGGCGACGAUCCGUAACUGGUCUGACAGGAUGGUCAGUCACACUGGAACGGAGACACGGUCCAGACGCCUACGGGAGGCAGCAGUGGGGAAUGUUGGACAAUGGGCGAAAGCCUGAUCCAGCCAGGCCGCGUGUGUGAAGAAGGUCUUCGGAUUGUAAAGCACUUCAAGUUGGGAGGAAGGGCAGUAAGUUAAUACCUUGCUGUUUUGACGUUACCAACAGAAUAAGCACCGGCUAACUACGUG